AAAGAACUUCCUCAGGGACCGUGAUAAUGAAUAAAAUCAAUACAUAGAAUUACAGCAUGUAAAAAAAGGGAUGGUUUUUUACAUGCUGUAAAUCUAUGUAUUGAUUUUAUUCAUUAUCACGGUCCCUGAGGAAGUUCUUU